rnacentral:rRNA from 1 species
CGUAUCACUUAAAGCGAUUCAGCGGGUUACGAUUGACGGAGCGAAGCGACGUCAAAGCGUAUACAAAGUCGAGUCGGUUUAAGGAUACGUUCGUUGGGUAGGGGAGCGUUCUGUAAGCCUGUGAAGGUGGCCUGUGAGGGUUGCUGGAGGUAUCAGAAGUGCGAAUGCUGACAUAAGUAACGAUAAAGCGGGUGAAAAGCCCGCUCGCCGGAAGACCAAGGGUUCCUGUCCAACGUUAAUCGGGGCAGGGUGAGUCGACCCCUAAGGCGAGGCCGAAAGGCGUAGUCGAUGGGAAACAGGUUAAUAUUCCUGUACUUGGUGUUACUGCGAAGGGGGGACGGAGAAGGCUAUGUUGGCCGGGCGACGGUUGUCCCGGUUUAAGCGUGUAGGCUGGUUUUCCAGGCAAAUCCGGAAAAUCAAGGCUGAGGCGUGAUGACGAGGCACUACGGUGCUGAAGCAACAAAUGCCCUGCUUCCAGGAAAAGCCUCUAAGCAUCAGGUAACAUCAAAUCGUACCCCAAACCGACACAGGUGGUCAGGUAGAGAAUACCAAGGCGCUUGAGAGAACUCGGGUGAAGGAACUAGGCAAAAUGGUGCCGUAACUUCGGGAGAAGGCACGCUGACACGUAGGUGAAGUGAUUUACUCACGGAGCUGAAGUCAGUCGAAGAUACCAGCUGGCUGCAACUGUUUAUUAAAAACACAGCACUGUGCAAACACGAAAGUGGACGUAUACGGUGUGACGCCUGCCCGGUGCCGGAAGGUUAAUUGAUGGGGUCAGCGCAAGCGAAGCUCCUGAUCGAAGCCCCGGUAAACGGCGGCCGUAACUAUAACGGUCCUAAGGUAGCGAAAUUCCUUGUCGGGUAAGUUCCGACCUGCACGAAUGGCGUAAUGAUGGCCAGGCUGUCUCCACCCGAGACUCAGUGAAAUUGAACUCGCUGUGAAGAUGCAGUGUACCCGCGGCAAGACGGAAAGACCCCGUGAACCUUUACUAUAGCUUGACACUGAACAUUGAGCCUUGAUGUGUAGGAUAGGUGGGAGGCUUUGAAGUGUGGACGCCAGUCUGCAUGGAGCCGACCUUGAAAUACCACCCUUUAAUGUUUGAUGUUCUAACGUGGACCCGUAAUCCGGGUUGCGGACAGUGUCUGGUGGGUAGUUUGACUGGGGCGGUCUCCUCCUAAAGAGUAACGGAGGAGCACGAAGGUUGGCUAAUCCUGGUCGGACAUCAGGAGGUUAGUGCAAUGGCAUAAGCCAGCUUGACUGCGAGCGUGACGGCGCGAGCAGGUGCGAAAGCAGGUCAUAGUGAUCCGGUGGUUCUGAAUGGAAGGGCCAUCGCUCAACGGAUAAAAGGUACUCCGGGGAUAACAGGCUGAUACCGCCCAAGAGUUCAUAUCGACGGCGGUGUUUGGCACCUCGAUGUCGGCUCAUCACAUCCUGGGGCUGAAGUAGGUCCCAAGGGUAUGGCUGUUCGCCAUUUAAAGUGGUACGCGAGCUGGGUUUAGAACGUCGUGAGACAGUUCGGUCCCUAUCUGCCGUGGGCGCUGGAGAACUGAGGGGGGCUGCUCCUAGUACGAGAGGACCGGAGUGGACGCAUCACUGGUGUUCGGGUUGUCAUGCCAAUGGCACU